UACAGAGGUCUCAAGCGUUGUUCGGAUUCAUUGGGCGUAAAGGGUGCGUAGGCGGCGCGGUAAGUCGGGUGUGAAAUCUCGGAGCUUAACUCCGAAACUGCAUUCGAUACUGCCGUGCUUGAGGACUGGAGAGGAGACUGGAAUUUACGGUGUAGCGGUGAAAUGCGCAGAUAUCAGGAGGAACACCAAUUGCGAAGGCAGCUCGCUGGGACGCUACUGACGCUGAGACGCGAAAGCGUGGGGAGCAAACAGG
rnacentral:rRNA from 1 species